rnacentral:tRNA from 1 species
GCGCGUGUGGCUCAGAGGUUAGAGCACUGUCUUCACAUGGCAGGGGUCGCUGGUUCAAAUCCAGCCACGCGCA